GCAAGUCGUACGGAAACAGGGUAUAGCUUGCUAUUUUGCUGACGAGUGGCGGACGGGUGAGUAAUGCUUGGGAAUUUGCCUUGUUGUGGGGGACAACAGUUGGAAACGACUGUUAAUACCGCAUAAUCUCUUCGGAGCAAAGGUGGCCUCUAUUUAUAUGCUAUCGCAACAAGAUGAGCCCAAGUGGGAUUAGCUAGUUGGUAAGGUAAUGGCUUACCAAGGCGACGAUCCCUAGCUGGUCUGAGAGGAUGACC
rnacentral:rRNA from 1 species